rnacentral:rRNA from 1 species
UACCAGACUCCUACGGGAGGCAGCAGUGAGGAAUAUUGGUCAAUGGGCGAGAGCCUGAACCAGCCAAGUCGCGUGAGGGAGUACUGCCCUAUGGGUUGUAAACCUCUUUUGCCGGGGAGCAAAAGCCGGACGUGUCCGUCUGUGAGAGUACCCGAAGAAAAAGCAUCGGCUAACUCCGUGCCAGCAGCCGCGGUAAUACGUAGGGAGCAAGCGUUGUCCGGAAUUACUGGGCGUAAAGGGCGCGUAGGUGGGCGCUUAAGUCAGGUGUGAAAACUCCGGGCUCAACCUGGAGACUGCACUUGAAACUGGGUGUCUUGAGGGCAGGAGAGGAAAGUGGAAUUCCUAGUGUAGCGGUGAAAUGCGUAGAUAUUAGGAGGAACACCAGUGGCGAAGGCGACUUUCUGGACUGUACCUGACGCUGAGGCGCGAAAGCGUGGGUAGCGAACGGGAUUAGAUACCCUGGUA